AUUUUUCUAAAGUGCCUAUAAAUUACCAUAAACAUUUUUAAAUGGCAACACACGAUGCUAUAUUUUAUAGCACCAGAAAUGAUGAGAGAAUUAUUAAAAACAUUUUUCAUACUUGCACCAUGUGGAACCAACAGCGCUGCAGGUUGGCAGCUGGCAGAGUAUUCCUCAGUGCAUUGGUUAAUGCGGUUUCAUAGUCAGUAAUGAUGUUUGUUGCUUGAAUACCGCCUGGAAUAAGAUCCCUUACGUAUUCAAGCACGCACCGGUACGCGAUCUCGGUCUUCCUUGUCAUCAACACAAAUGCAACCGGAAAAGCCUAAGUAAACGCGAAAUGAAAACCACUGCUUCGCCAGCUUCUACACCUCCAUCUAUGUAGCCCCUAUACAACUCCUCGUUGCUAGACGUUAAAAAUAGAUGCCGGUACCUCGGGUCGGACAAAUUGCCCGCAUAUCCCAAGAGAGUCUGGGGUAUCGAUGGCUGAGCCUCGGCCCUGGCCCGUUCCAUAGUUCGCUUGAAGCUGGUGUACGCCAAUUGAGUGUUAACAUGGUUUAAUCUAAGUAUAGAAUAUGUAGGUAUUACUGUGUUAUUUCUUCAUCAUAAAUGACUUUAAGACUGGUCAAUUCUGUUGAACAACGAUGAAGAAUUUGGCUUUUUACACGUACAGCGGACAAAUAUUCCAUAUCAGGA